rnacentral:rRNA from 1 species
AUUGAACGCUGGCUGCAUGCCUUACACAUGCAAGUCGAACGGCAGCACGGGAGCAAUCCUGGUGGCGAGUGGCGAACGGGCGAGUAAAGUAUCGGAACGUGCCCAGUCGUGGGGGAUAACGUAGCGAAAGUUACGCUCAUACCGCAUCCGAUCUAUGGAUGAAAGCGGGGGCUCGCAAGACCUCGCGCGAUUGGAGCGGCCGAUAUCAGAUUAGGUAGUGGGUGGGGUAAAGGCUCACCAAGCCGACGAUCUGUAGCUCGUCUGAGAGGACGACCAGCCACACUGAGACUGGGACACGGCCCAGAGUCCUACGGGAGGCAGCAGUGGGGAAUUUUGGACAAUGUGCGAAAGCCUGAUCCAGCCAUGCCGCGUGCAGGAUGAAGGCCUUCGGGUUGUAAACUGCUUUUGUACGGAACGAAAAGGUUUGGCCUAAUAAGCUGAGCUCAUGACGGUACCGUAAGAAUAAGCACCGGCUAACUACGUGCCAGCAGCCGCGGUAA